rnacentral:lncRNA from 1 species
UGGGUUCAGCUACUCUAGUCAACUUAUCAAUUCUUCCUUCAAAAGGUCUUUGGGCCAGGGAAGGGGCAUGUAGAGAGAGAGAUUUUUCCAGUGGCAGAAACACUGUUGCAUUAGCUACAAAACUUCUCUCACAGCUCUUUCAACACUAUCCACUGGAGUCUGCAAAGGUCCUGGCCCCUGUUUCUGGAUUUGUCAUUAUAUAGGAUAAUGCUCUUUUUUUUUUUUUUUUUUUUUAAGGAGUAUUUAGAAGAGAAGCAUCAUGAUGCUUGCAUCUUACAUUCAAGUGGUUUGACAAAAACAUCGACAUUAAUUCCUUGAGUUUCUUUUCUACAAAAGCACUGGCUAUUAAUUCUGAAACAACUUUCUGUGUAUUCUAAAAAGGCUCAAAUAAAUACGUUGCAGAUAAAUGAAGCCACUUUUCUCACUGUUGAAGAAGAAAAUUACAGAUAUGAAAACAGACAGGGUCUGCUCUGUUGGCCAGGCUGGAGCGCAGUGUCACAAUGUCUACUCACUGCAGGCUCUACCUCCUGGGCUCAAGCGAUUCUCACACCUCAGCCUCAAGAAUGGCUCAGACUACAGGCAUGUACCUCUGUGCCUGGCUAAGAUUUGUAGUUUUUUGGUAGACACAGGGUCUCACUAUGUUGCCCAGGCUGGUCUUGAACUCUAUAGUGUUUGAUCAUAGAAGUGGAGAUACUAACCAAAAAUCUUUUCAAAUUAAGCCUAAUAAACACAGACAUAAUAAUCUGACUAUAUUCAAACAAAUCGAAUAGUUAGUGUGCAGAUCCUCUUUCUAGAAAACCAAGUGCCAUUUUUUAAAAAAUCAAAGACUUAAUGAGCAAUUCUUUUUGUGCAAAGGUUGAUCAAGGGCUCACUGUAUUUUAUAUGGUUGUGUGGGAAAAUGCAUUACUAGUUUAUUAUGGCUUGGGUCCAUUCUCAAGGUGCCUCGUUUUUGUCCUAGAAAUGGAGUUUCUAUAUCAAUCUGCUUCAUAACCUUGGGGAGUCUUGUGAUGAGUACUGGUGGAAAAGCGUUUAGAUGAAGAUAAAUGAAAGCCUUACUAAGCCAAAUUCAUUUUAUUUAGACAUGCAAGUCACAUGGAAAUAAAUGUUAUUUAGGAGUAAUGUAAGUUGUAAAUCUGUUUUUUCCUUAACAUGAAUUGUAUAUGUUUAGAACUGCCUGGUGUAUAGUCUGGGCCAGGGGCCAGUUUUUCUCGGACUAAGGCUAAAUCCUGUAAAUUCACACUAUAAAUGAACUGACAGAAUACUUACCUACAUAAUAUCCUAAAUUAAAUUUGGCAUCACCAAAUAUCUUCAAAAGAGUGACUGGAGAUUCAACUUAAACUCUGACCUUUGCUCAACUGAACUCUGACACACUGAUCCACUUGGUAAAGGGCCAAAUCAAAGAUUUUUUUCCCAAGUUCUAUUUUGCAUGUGCAUACUUGUGGAAAGCUGACCUAGCCAUAACAUAUGGCAUGUCAUCAACUGAUAGAAGUGACCUGGCAAGUGGAUGUGUCCUCUUUCCAUUGCCAUCACUCUUCUCUUUAGAAUGUCUAGUCAUUGCAGGCUUGGUUGAUGAGAACAACCUUCACAAUGCAGGAAGAUCAUCUUUCCAUUGUGGGUACGUGUGGCCAUGUCAAAUAGCUUAAGGUAGCAGCCUCUUAUUGUCAAUUCUUACCCCUUUGCCACUCUUUCUGAACUGCCAGCUUCCUUCUCAACAGCUGGAUCUUUUUGGCUCUUUUACUUUCACCAUUGUUCUUUUCUUUCACUAGAAACUCCCUCUGCUACCACUGUUCACCCCUGUGCAAAGAAUUUCCAAACCUAGUUCCUAUCUUCUGUCUAUAGCCUUCUUGUGUAUCUUAUCUCUGUAUCUCUCAGGUCAAUAAAACAUCUGAGAAAUAAAUGAAAAUGAUUUGUUGGUUCUAGUUUCUGUUCUGCACAUCCAGCUGCAUCUCCAGUUCCUAGGGUGACCGUAUAAAAUUGGGACAGCUUUGAAUAUGAAAGAGAGCACUUUUGACGAUAAUUAUGCUGGGACAAUAGCCAUAAAUGGUUCCAGGCAAACCCAUGGUCACUCUUCCUGUUUAGCAUGUGCCAAAUUAAAACCAUCACAGCUACCACCAGGACACCUUUUCUUCCAGAAAUAAAUAUUUCUAAAUUUUCAGUCACUCAGGGUCAAAUGCUGGAGUCAUAGCUGACUUCCAUCUCUCUCCCAUAUUUAAUGUCUC